ensembl:lncRNA
GAAGAUAUGUCUGUGUGGGGCAGGGUCUUGGCAUCCCUUUUCCAUCCCACUGCUCAUUCCCUUUCUCUCUCUCCCCUCAGAUUUAGACAUGGCCAGGGAACCCAAGCCGAGCCGGGCCCGGCUGGGCCAGAAGCGGCAGCACAGCAGCAGCCUGUACCACAGUAACUGCGAGCUGGACUACGAUCUCUACAGGGACGACUUCCCGUACAGGGUGUACGAGUACCAGAAGAUUCCCCCCCUCAUUAACCGCAUCCCAGUCAAGGCCAGACGAACUCAUGUGGGAGCAGGAGGCAAAAGCAGCCUGAGCCCCCAGCCCGGGGCGAGGAGCAGCACCAGCUCCAUGACGGGACGGACAAAGUUGCGGGCUGAAGAGCUGCACUCCAUCAAGGGUGAGCUGAGCCAGAUCAAGGCGCAGGUGGACAGUCUGCUGGAGAGCCUGGACCGCAUGGACCAACGGAGAGAGCGUCUCGCAGGGUCCAAGGAGAGCGAGAAGAAGAGGGUAGAGAUGGGGGCAGAGUCGCCGUCCCCAGCAGGAGAGGGUUCACGGGAGCCGCGGGGGAAGGAGGGGAUGGGAUCUGAUGGGCACAGCGACCUGCGCAACAUCGACAGCGCUGAGGAGAGCACAGACACGGAGGAGACGGUAAGAGGAGGGCCAGAUCCUGCGCCGGGCUCUGCUUUCCUAAAAUUCAUCCCCGCUUGAUGCCUUUGUGGGUCCUGGUGGAGGGAUGCCACUCCAAUGGGGUCCCCUGAUCCAUCCUGGCUUUGUGCCAGGGCUACGAGUGCCUGUGCCUCCAGGAUAGCCCCGAGAACCCUGCAGCAAACCCCUGGGUGUUCAUUACUCCAGCAGCACAGGCUGAAAAAAAAUCCUCAGAGUAGAAAUACCCUUUAUUGAAGCUGCUGCUCCCUCAGCCUCAUCCUCAGCUGGAUGUGGGACCCUAGGACGUCUCCAUGCUAGGCAGGGCACUAGGUUUGAUCCUGCUGCCCAGGCACGUCAGAGGACGGACGCGCUGUACGCUUCUUCUUGCAGGUGAAAAACCACAUGUCGGACCCCGAGGGGAGCCAGUAGACGGACUGGGAUGCCAUGGCCUCCCUGCAUGGCCAGCCCUUUCUGUCUUGUGUUUGUAUUUCUUUUGAGGCUUCCAGCUAGUGCCACGCAGGACGCAAGGUGGCCUGCCCUCGGCAUGGCCAUCCCCUGCCGCUGGCAGCCCCAUGUCCCACCCCUGUGAGAUGCCAGCCAGCCGUGGCGAGAGAAGUUUUUGUGUUCAAGUGUGCUUGUUUUCUUUUUCCUCCUGUUUUCAGACCUAGGGGUAAGCAGACACGGCCGGGGGAGGCAGGGGAGAAGCAAAAAAAAGGAUUGUAUCCCAAAGGAGCAUCCCAAAUCCCAGUUGCCUUGCACGCAGGGUGCCGUGGGGCACUGGGAAAGCACCCCGGGGCUCCCAGCCCCUACGGCACAGGUCACAUCCCAACCUCCUGUGCCCUGCAAGCCCACCCGCUGCCACCAAGCUUCAGCCCCACCCUGGGAAUUGGUUCAGCAGGUGCAGGCACAUCCCAGGAAAGCUUUAAGAGCUGCUCAGCAUCCCACCAUGAUGCCAUGGGAAGGAGAGACCACCCUCAGAGAGCUCUGAGGGGCUUUCAGGGGAUUUUGGGAUGGAGGGGUGGUGCUGAGCCCAGGUCCAACUCUGGCUGCAGGGCUAGCAGCG